GCCGGAGGGCGCCUGGGGGCUGGCGCUCCGGACUGGUUAUUUGGGGAAGUGCAUCGCGACACCUUUGCAGAUGGCACGGCCGUGUUUUGCAACGCAGACGGGAGGAGGGAAGACGGCCGGGUGGAGGAGCAGCGCAGAGGCGCCGGGUGACCCAGAAAAUCACAAAGCAAAUCUGGUUGGAGGCUAAAAGGGCUCCAGGAGAGCUGCACAGGAUGCCACGUUGACAUGAGGCGUUUGUGGUGGCGUGGUGUCUCUUCUUUGUCGACUUUGGUCUCUUUCUACACUUGAAGUUCCAUGUGAAUUUCAGAGACAAGCAGAAAACAAGCCAGGAGUACGUGAAAACAGAAACAACUGCUGAACAUGCUCUAGAUGACUCUUUAAAGGAAUAGAGAUAAAUAGUCUGCUUUGUGAGGCUGGGGUGGGGUGGGGGUCUCUCCACAGGUGGAGAUAAAAUACAUUCCACAACAAUAUGGCUUUAUUUUAGUCUUCCAUGGUGAUUCCAGCCAGAAAGUGAUGAAUAUAUAAAACAAGAAGAAGGAGUUUGGGGGAAGGCUUGAAAGCAUCUGGAUUCUGCAUGGGGCAGGGUUUAAUGCUAGGCAGGAAGCUUUUAUCUCCCUUUCAGAUAAACUCAGCUGAACAGACAGGGACUUCAAUGAGUGGUGGACAUAAAGGAAAAGCUCACAUUUGGUCUGGAAUUGUGCAUAUUCAAUUGCUUAUCUUAUCAGAGACCCUGUGAUGUCUGUUGGAAUUUUACUAUUAUGAAGACUCUUUGGGGCCUUUUUGUAAUAUAUUUAAAAAAAAAAAGUGGGAAAAACAAGAUACCAAGAGAAAAGACAUCAUAACAUGCAGCAUUUGGUUGUUGCUGUCAUUGUUGCAUACUCAGGACUUGGG